GACACAAUCCACAGCCCCUGUGUCUGUGCAGUGACCAGCCAGUCCCCUGAGAAUUUUCCCCUCCAGCACCAGGGAAAAUGGGAUUUUUCCUCCUUGUAAUUUUCGCUGUAGCAGCUUUGGAAGGUGUCCGGUCCCAGGCGCUGGUGGAGUCCGGAGGGGAUGUGAAAAAGCCCGGAGACUCUCUCCGCCUCUCCUGCAAAGCCUCCGGGUUCACCUUCACCAGCUACGACAUGAACUGGGUCCGACAGGCUCCUGGCAAGGGACUGGAAUGGGUCGCUGCUAUAUACAACGGUGGGAUUAGUACUGCAUACCUUGAUUCAGUGAAAAGCCGAUUCACCAUCUCCAGGGAUGAUUCCAAGAGUGAGCUGUAUCUGCAAAUGACCGGCCUGAAGCCCGAGGACACCGCCCGCUAUUACUGUGCGAGAGACACAGUGAAACGAAACCGAUUUGUGAUCAUACAAAAACCCAGGCUGCGGAAUCGCCCUUCUCCCGGCAGCCGCGCGGGGGCAGCAGUGAUACACACACGGCUUUGGUCUCGGACAGGAGACCCGGCAACCAGGUGAAUGUAACACAAACCUCCCAUCAGUUUUAACCCUUCCGUUCCCGGGCAAUGUGUCUCCCCUUCCUGCCAAGAGCCCCGCUGGGCCUGCGGUGCAGAGAUCCGUCGCUUCAUCUGUGAACCCCAAUCCGGAGUGAGUCCUGUUCUGAGUCGCUCUCCCCUCGCAGACCUGGCACGUUGGCUCUCCCGGGCCCGUCUCUGUGUCAGACUCACAGGACAGCGUCUGUCAAUGUAAAGGGGACAAGCGCAUUGGGGUUUGCGUCAGACCCAGCGGAUGGAGCAAAUUGCUCCUGGGGCCAAAUCCUCCGCUAGUGUAAAGUCAUCGCAACUACUUCCGUUAGACUCGAGUUACUCCUGAUUUACACCAGGGAGGCUCUGGUCCUUUCAGCAA